rnacentral:sRNA from 1 species
UACCACAAUUUUCGACUUAAUAAUCAC